GCAAGGGGAGCGGCAGACGGGAGAGUAACACGUGGGAACGUACCCUUCAGUUCGGAACAACCCAGGGAAACUUGGGCUAAUACCGAAUACGUCCGUAAGGAGAAAGAUUUAUCGCUGAAGGAUCGGCCCGCGUCUGAUUAGCUUGUUGGUGAGGUAACGGCUCACCAAGGCGACGAUCAGUAGCUGGUCUGAGAGGAUGAUCAGCCUCACUGGGACUGAGACACGGCCCAAACUCCUACGGGAGGCAGCAGUGGGGAAUAUUGGACAAUGGGCGCAAGCCUGAUCCAGCCAUGCCGCGUGGGUGAUGAAGGCCCUAGGG
rnacentral:rRNA from 1 species